rnacentral:rRNA from 1 species
UUGAGCGCUGAAGGNUGGUACUUGUACCGACUGGAUGAGCAGCGAACGGGUGAGUAACGCGUGGGGAAUCUGCCUUUGAGCGGGGGACAACAUUUGGAAACGAAUGCUAAUACCGCAUAAAAACUUUAAACACAAGUUUUAAGUUUGAAAGAUGCAAUUGCAUCACUCAAAGAUGAUCCCGCGUUGUAUUAGCUAGUUGGUGAGGUAAAGGCUCACCAAGGCGAUGAUACAUAGCCGACCUGAGAGGGUGAUCGGCCACAUUGGGACUGAGACACGGCCCAAACUCCUACGGGAGGCAGCAGUAGGGAAUCUUCGGCAAUGGACGAAAGUCUGACCGAGCAACGCCGCGUGAGUGAAGAAGGUUUUCGGAUCGUAAAACUCUGUUGGUAGAGAAGAACGUUGAUGAGAGUGGAAAGCUCAUCAAGUGACGGUAACUACCCAGAAAGGGACGGCUAACUACGUGCCAGCAGCCGCGGUAAUACGUAGGUCCCGAGCGUUGUCCGGAUUUAUUGGGCGUAAAGCGAGCGCAGGUGGUUUAUUAAGUCUGGUGUAAAAGGCAGUGGCUCAACCAUUGUAUGCAUUGGAAACUGGUAGACUUGAGUGCA